UAGGGUGACCAACUAUCCUGGUUUGCCUGGGACUGAGAAAUUUCCUGGGAUGCAGAGCUUUCAGUACUAUAUAGCCUGGACAGUC
ensembl:miRNA